AUUGAACGCUGGCGGCAGGCUUAACACAUGCAAGUCGAGCGGGGGAAGGUAGCUUGCUACUGGACCUAGCGGCGGACGGGUGAGUAAUGCUUAGGAAUCUGCCUAUUAGUGGGGGACAACAUCUCGAAAGGGAUGCUAAUACCGCAUACGUCCUACGGGAGAAAGCAGGGGAUCUUCGGACCUUGCGCUAAUAGAUGAGCCUAAGUCGGAUUAGCUAGUUGGUGGGGUAAAGGCCUACCAAGGCGACGAUCUGUAGCGGGUCUGAGAGGAUGCUCCGCCACACUGGGACUGAGCCACGGCCCAGACGCCGACGGGAGGCAGCAGUGGGGAAUAUUGGACAAUGGGGGGAACCCUGAUCCAGCCAUGCCGCGUGUGUGAAGAAGGCCUUAUGGUUGUAAAGCACUUUAAGCGAGGAGGAGGCUACUCUAGUUAAUACCUAGGGAUAGUGGACGUUACUCGCAGAAUAAGCACCGGCUAACUCUGUGCCAGCAGCCGCCGUAA
rnacentral:rRNA from 1 species